CAGCAGCCGCGGGAAUACGUAGGUGGCAAGCGUUGUCCGGAGUUAUUGGGCGUAAAGGGCUCGCAGGCGGUUUCUUAAGUCUGAUGUGAAAGCCCCCGGCUCAACCGGGGAGGGUCAUUGGAAACUGGGAAACUUGAGUGCAGAAGAGGAGAGUGGAAUUCCACGUGUAGCGGUGAAAUGCGUAGAGAUGUGGAGGAACACCAGUGGCGAAGGCGACUCUCUGGUCUGUAACUGACGCUGAGGCUCGAAAGCGUGGGGAGCAAACAGGAUUAGAUACCCCAGUAGUCCCUGUCUCUUAUAC
rnacentral:rRNA from 1 species